UCCUUCAUAGCUCAUUUGGUAAAGUGUCUGCCUGCAAUGCAGGAGACCUGGGUUUGAUUCCUGGGUCAGGAA
rnacentral:tRNA from 1 species